GUGUCCUGGUCGUCUUUACCUAACAUUUAUGUGAAGAAAAUUCAAUAUUUAGGCAAUUAGGGACCACAGAGAAAUGUCUAAUGAUAGAUGCUGACUCCCUGGCGGUCCAGGGCUUGAGACUUCGCCGUCCCAUGCAGGGGAUGUGGGUUCCGUCCCUGGUCAAGGAGCUAAAAACCCACAUGCCUUGGAACCAAAAAGCCAAAACAUAAACCAGANNNNNNNNNNNNNNNNNNNCAAUAACAACUUUAAAAAUGGUCCAAAAGUUUUUUGUUGAAAGUCUUAAUAAUAAUAUAAAAAGCCAAGAAACGGAUUUCUGUGGAACCUAGAGAUGACUGUACUAGCCCCACCUCUGCCCUGUUUCUUGGGAUGAGCUCCGUUUUUCCUAAGGAACUUGCCGAGUGUCUCCCAAGGACAACCUGUCUUGGCCGUUUUCCACAGCGGUGGCUGGCCUGAGCAACACGGUCCACACUCGGCGAGGCGGCAGGAGGGACGGUUUAAGCGGAAGCAGAAAACGGAGGCCCCACCCCAGCCGCAACGUGGGCCACAGGCUGAAGCGCGCAGACGGGGUCUGAGGAGGGGCGCCGGGAAGGCGUCUGGGGGAAGGCCCCGGAGUCCCGCGCUGGCGUUCUUCUGAGGAAAACCCAUCUGCAGCUGUGGUUCUCGCUGUAUGGGCGCGCGAUCAGGGAAAGCAGAGGGCCUGCGGGAGAAGCCGUGAGUGAGGCCGCGGAGCCUUCCCGACGGUGCCCUCCCGCUCGGCCGCCGGCUUUCUCCCCCGCCAGACACGCCCGGCCGGCCCGCCCGCCGAGGGCUGGGGUCCGGACGCGCCCGCGAGUGCUGAACCCGCCCUGUGGUUGUAGGAGACGUUACCAGCACAGAAGACGGCGGGAAGGGAGGUGAUCUACCCAGCUGACUCAGUUGUGAAGAAUAAGUGACUGUGAAUGGAAAUUUUUGCGAAUGAAUCCAACCAACGACUGAGCCAAGGCUUUGCUGAUGAUGAGAAUAAUGUGUUUCAGUAGAUGUACAGGUGCUCCCUCACGUGUGACUAUAUUACAGGUAAUUUGUUUCUUGUAAUAAAAUACCAGUGUUUGUGAAUAGCUUAUUUUUUACUUGUGAUAAAAGACUUGCCAUUGUAACCAAGUGCACAGUUCUAGGCAUUAAGUCCAUUCACAGUGUUGUGCAACCAUCACCACAUAUCCAUCUCCAGAACUUUUUCAUUUUUCCCGAUUGAAAUUCUAUAUCAAAUAAGGU
rnacentral:lncRNA from 1 species